GGUUUUUUUGAGUAAUGAAGGGGGUUGCCUGGGAAAAUUUAAUUGGAGUUCUUUUGUUUCCUUUGCUAUUUGAAACUCUACUUAUAAAAAGUAUGAUUAUUUACAUUCUUUUUUUUUUUUUACUACAGAAUCAGAAGUACUUUUCAUUUGAUUGCCCCUGGAAGUGGACUCCCAUCUUUGUAACAGAAACCACCAGUUUGGUUUAUGUGUAUGCUGUGCUGUCCUUCCUCUUGGUCUUUCCCUGUCCUUAUUUAGUGAAGUACGGGGGUGAAAGAUACGGCUGAAUGGAAUUGUUUUGUAGAAGCAGGAAGUGAAGUUGAACGCGGUUCAUGAGGGUGGUUGGCUGGAGCUAAGGUUUGAUUUGGAAAGCUACUGCCUUCGUGUUUGAAAACACCAUCAGAGCUACAAGAGUGCAACAGGCUUUACUGCUUUUUGGGAGACUACCAAGAGAAGCCACAUUUUUAUUAGCAAGACUGUGCUAAAAUCCUGAGCUUUUGCUUCACGGCAUGAUAGAAGUAUAAUUAUCCUACGCU
rnacentral:lncRNA from 1 species